CUUUCUCCUGUUUCAAAAGUGGCUGAGUGAGUAACUGCUAGUUGAGACAGCUACGCUGAACUUCUUUAAUAUUUGGUCAUAGGUAACUAAGGUAAACUACUAAACUUCAAUUCUGAGUUCUGAACUUUAGGGUAGGCUAUAGCCUACCCUAGCCUUAUGCUAGCUACGCCCUUG